rnacentral:rRNA from 1 species
GACAGAGGUGGCAAGCGUUGUUCGGAAUCACUGGGCUUAAAGGGCGCGUAGGCGGCUUGCCAAGUCAGUGGUGAAAUCCUGCAGCUUAACUGCAGAAGUGCCUUUGAUACUGGCGAGCUCGAGGGAGGUAGGGGUAUGCGGAACUUCUGGUGGAGCGGUGAGAUGCGUUGAUAUCAGAAGGAACGCCGGUGGCGAAAGCGGCGUACUGGACCUCUUCUGACGCUGAGGCGCGAAAGCUAGGGGAGCAAACGGG